rnacentral:rRNA from 1 species
UACGUAGGGUGCAAGCGUUGUCCGGAAUUAUUGGGCGUAAAGGGCGUGUAGGCGGAUAGAUAAGUCGGGCGUGAAAUCCCCAGGCUCAACCUGGGAACUGCACUCGAAACUGUUUAUCUUGAGUGCCGGAGAGGAAAGCGGAAUUCCUGGUGUAGAGGUGAAAUUCGUAGAUAUCGGGAGGAACACCAGUGGCGAAGGCGGCUUUCUGGACGGUAACUGACGCUGAGACGCGAAAGCGUGGGGAGCAAACAGG